rnacentral:rRNA from 1 species
CUUGCUCUCUGGGUGACGAGCGGCGGACGGGUGAGUAAUGUCUGGGAAACUGCCUGAUGGAGGGGGAUAACUACUGGAAACGGUAGCUAAUACCGCAUAACGUCUUCGGACCAAAGUGGGGGACCUUCGGGCCUCACGCCAUCAGAUGUGCCCAGAUGGGAUUAGCUAGUAGGUGGGGUAAUGGCUCACCUAGGCGACGAUCCCUAGCUGGUCUGAGAGGAUGACCAGCCACACUGGAACUGAGACACGGUCCAGACUCCUACGGGAGGCAGCAGUGGGGAAUAUUGCACAAUGGGCGCAAGCCUGAUGCAGCCAUGCCGCGUGUGUGAAGAAGGCCUUCGGGUUGUAAAGCACUUUCAGCGAGGAGGAAGGGUGGUGUGUUAAUAGCGCAUCACAUUGACGUUACUCGCAGAAGAAGCACCGGCUAACUCCGUGCCAGCAGCCGCGGUAAUACGGAGGGUGCAAGCGUUAAUCGGAAUUACUGGGCGUAAAGCGCACGCAGGCGGUUUGUUAAGUCAGAUGUGAAAUCCCCGCGCUUAACGUGGGAACUGCAUUUGAAACUGGCAAGCUAGAGUCUUGUAGAGGGGGGUAGAAUUCCAGGUGUAGCGGUGAA